rnacentral:rRNA from 1 species
GAUGAACGCUAGCGGCAGGCUUAACACAUGCAAGUCGAGGGGCAGCGCGGGAUAGCAAUAUCCUGGCGGCGACCGGCGGAAGGGUGCGUAACGCGUGAACGACAUGCCCGUUGCCCGGGGACAACCGGUGGAAACGCCGACUAAUCCCCGAUGGGAUACGAUGCUUCAUGGCAUUGUAUUGAAAGUUACGGCGGCGACGGAUUGGCUCGCGUCCGAUUAGCUGGUUGGCGGGGUAACGGCCCACCAAGGCUGCGAUCGGUAGGGGUUCUGAGAGGAAGGCCCCCCACAAUGGGACUGAGACACGGCCCAUACUCCUACGGGAGGCAGCAGUGAGGAAUAUUGGUCAAUGGGCGGAAGCCUGAACCAGCCAUGCCGCGUGCGGGAAGGAGGCCCUAUGGGCUGUGAACCGCUUUUGCCUGGGGGCAAUAAGGGCGUCGCGCACGUCCGAUGAGAGUACCAGGCGAAUAAGCAUCGGCUAACUCCGUG